rnacentral:rRNA from 1 species
UCGAGAAUAGUCCGCAAUGGGCGAAAGCCUGACGGCGCGACGCCGCGUGUAGGAAGACGGCCUUCGGGUUGUAAACUACUUUUGCGUGGGAAGAAUUUUGACGGUACCACGAGAAUAAGGGGUUGCUAACUCUGUGCCAGCAGCAGCGGUAAUACAGAGACCCCGAGCAUUAUCCGGAAUUACUGGGCGUAAAGGGCAAGUAGCCGGUCGCGUUAGUCUGAUGUCAAAUCUUGGGGCCCAACCCCAUGCCUGCAUCGGAAACGGCGCGGCUAGAGCGGGUAAGAGGUAGGCGGAACGUACGGUGUAGGGGUGAAAUCCACUGAUAUCGUACGGAACACCAAAAGCGAAGGCAGCCUACUAGUGCUCUGCUGACGGUCAAUUGCGAAAGCGUGGGGAUCAAAAAGG